CGCUCGAUUCCCCCCUUUCUCCUCUUACUUGUUCAGGAGAUGUUACCAAAUGUUCCGAUCCUUGUGGUGUAAAGCAGGACCAAAUCUCUAAAGGAAGACCACCAUUAAUGGACAAUCAUCAUCAUCAUCAGCAGCAGCAAGCCUGUAUACUAUCUUCAGAUUGCAGAAUCCAGAUUUUCUUAUGAAACCUAGGGUUAGUUUCAUGUUCACUAGUAAUAAUCUUCUUCUGAUUCUUCAUUUAUUGUUAGUUAUUUGAUAAGUUCAUGUGGAUUAUCUGAAAAUGUGGCUCUCACUGUUUCUAAGCAAAUUAGUUUUAACAUUAUUUCAAAAUUAUGGUUUCACUAAGCCUCACAUUUCAAAAUUCAUCUCCAAGCGACCAGCGUUCUUGUUAUCAUCUAAAGGGCUACAUGGAAUAGAACUAGCAAACUAUGUCUCAAGGAACUCAACCGUCCUGAAAUAUAGCCUAAAAUCCCGAUUAGGUCCUUCGUUUGAUAUCCUUAAGACCAUUGUUCAUACUGAUACAAACGUCAUUAAAAUGAGUAAACGGUUCACUUGCAUUCUCAACUUAAAUGUAGUCGAAAGGUUGAUGGUCAAUCUAGAGAUUUUGAGAUGUGAAGGUGUCCCUGAAUCUAAUAUACGGGUUAAUGGAAAAGGUUAAUGGAAUGGGUUUUGAUCCUUUACUUACAACAUUUCUUGUAGCUAUACGGUUAUUGACCCAAAUGAGCGAAGCCACUUGGAAGUCAAAAAUGGAUGUUUACAAGAGAUGGGGUUGGUCUGAAGAUCAAAUUCAAACAGCAUUUAGGAAAAAUCCUUGUUCUAUGACGUAUUCUGAGAGCAGGAUUAUGGCAGUUUGGGUUUUUUGUGAAUGAAAGGAGUUAUUUCAUUGACUAUUGGGGAAAACCCAGUGAUUUUAAAAAUUCUUGUUCUAUGAUGUAUUCCAAGAAGAAGAUUAUGGCAGUUAUGGGUUUUCUUGUGAAUGAAAUGGGUUAUGAUUCAUUCAGUCUAGUGGAAAACCCGGUGAUUUUGAAUGCUAGCUUGAAGGGGAGAGUUAUCCCCAGGGGCUUUGUUAUCAGAAUUUUAGUCUCGAAGGGUCUGAUUGAAGAAAAAAAUUCUCUGAGGUCACUUUCAAGAAUGACUGAUAACUCCUUCGCAGACAAGUUUGUGAAGCUGUAUGAGCAAGAAGCUCCAGAGUUAAUAAAGGUAUUCCAAAAUCAGUAUGAGCGAGAAGCUCCUGAAUCGAUGAGGGUAUUCCAAAGUUAGAUGAAUAACCGAGAGCUACUUUCGAAAUGAAGGAUUUGAAGAGUUUAUUACGCGCUACUGACAAUACCGAGUUGGGGACAGCUUGUGGGCGAUAAUACCAUGUUUCAUGCCUUGGUACCAUUGAUCCAUAUGAUUCUGAUUUCAUCAAAACCCUUGCUGGUGACCAGUAAGCAGAGAAAGCUAGUGGUUCAGUGUAUCCAGUCACUAGAUUCAGAAUUUACCUUGUUUGAUAUUCACCUUUUCUCUGUCCUCAAUCUUUUUUAAGUUGAGCUAUAUUUGAUUUGAAUCAUAUCAUCUUUUUUAAGUUAAGCUAUCUUUUUUAAGUUAAGCUAAAUUCUGGAAGUAUGCUUCUGCACUUUAUGAGACAAUUUUUUGUAUUUUCCACAGCAUUGCCAAGUGCCACUGCUUCAAAAAUGUAAAAUGUCAUUUUUUUGGUCAUUUAUAUUUUUUUUGCAAUAACUCUUCAACAUUCAACUGUAGG